rnacentral:rRNA from 1 species
AUUGAACGCUGGCGGCAGGCCUAACACAUGCAAGUCGAGCGUGAAAGUCCUUCGGGAUGAGUAAAGCGGCGGACGGGUGAGUAACGCGUAGGAAUCUACCUAAUAGUGGGGGAGUAACGUUUCGAAAGGAACGCUAAUACCGCAUACGUUCUGAGGAAGAAAGCAGGGGAUCGCAAGACCUUGCGCUAUUAGAUGAGCCUGCGUCCGAUUAGCUAGUUGGUGGGUAAAGGCCUACCAAGGCGACGAUCGGUAACUGGUCUGAGAGGAUGAUCAGUCACACUGGAACUGAGACACGGUCCAGACUCCUACGGGAGGCAGCAGUGGGAAUAUUGGACAAUGGGGGCGAACCCUGAUCCAGCCAUGCCGCGUGUGUGAAGAAGG